GAGGUAGAAAGCAGUAGAGAGCAGAAGAGAGAGGUAGAGAGAGGUAGAGAGUAGUAGAGAGUGGUAGAGAGAGGUAGAGAGAGGUAGAGAGUGGUAGAGAGAGGUAGAGAGAGGUAGAGAGUAGUAGAGAGAGGUAGAGAGUAGUAAAGAGAGGUAGAGAGAGGUAGAGAGUAGUAAAGAGAGGUAGAGAGUAGUAGAGAGAGGUAGAGAGAGGUAGAGAGUAGUAGAGAGAGGUAGAGAGCGGUAGAGAGAGGUAGAGAGUAGUAGAGAGAGGUAGAGAGAGGUAGAGAGUAGUAGAGAGAGGUAGAGAGAGGUAGAGAGAGGUAGAGAGUAGUAGAGAGAGGUAGAGAGAGGUAGAGAGUAGUAGAGAGAGGUAGAGAGAGGUAGAGAGAGGUAGAGAGUGGUAGAGAGAGGUAGAGAGAGGUAGAGAGUAGUAGAGAGAGGUAGAGAGUAGUAAAGAGAGGUAGAGAGAGGUAGAGAGUAGUAAAGAGAGGUAGAGAGUAUUAGAGAGAGGUAGAGAGAGGUAGAGAGUAGUAGAGAGAGGUAGAGAGCGGUAGAGAGCAGUAGAGAGAGGUAGAGAGAGGUAGAGAGUAGUAGAGAGAGGUAGAGAGCGGUAGAGAGAGGUAGAGAGUAGUAGAGAGAGGUAGAGAGAGGUAGAGAGUAGUAGAGAGUGGUAGAGAGAGAUAGAGAGAGGUAGAGAGUAGUAGAGAGUGGUAGAGAGUGGUAGAGAGUGGUAGAGAGAGGUAGAGAGAGGUAGAGAGAG